GAUGAACGCUAGCGGCAGGCCUAAUACAUGCAAGUCGAGGGAGAUUGUUGGAUUCGUCUGACAUGAAACCGGCGCACGGGUGCGUAACACGUAUGCAACCUACCUUUAACUGGGGUAUAGCUCAGAGAAAUCUGAAUUAAUCCCCCAUAAGACUACGACAUGGCAUCAUGAUGUAGUUAAAGCUCCGGCGGUUAAGGAUGGGCAUGCGGUACAUUAGCUAGUUGGUGAGGUAAUGGCUCACCAAGGCUACGAUGUAUAGGGGGUCUGAGAGGAUGAUCCCCCACAUUGGAACUGGGUCACGGACCGGAAGCAUACGGGAGCCAGCAGUAUGGGAGAUUGGUGAAUGGACGCAAGUCUGAACCAGCCAUGCCUCGUGAAAGAAGACGGCCCUCUGGGUCGUAACCUUCUUUUAGUAGGGAAGAAACCUCAAGAGGCGUCUUGAGCUGACGGUACUUAAUGAAUAAGGAUCGGCUAACUUCGUG
rnacentral:rRNA from 1 species